rnacentral:rRNA from 1 species
AUUGAACGCUGGCGGCAUGCCUUACACAUGCAAGUCGAACGGCAGCGCGGACUUCGGUCUGGCGGCGAGUGGCGAACGGGUGAGUAAUACAUCGGAACGUACCCUGUUGUGGGGGAUAACUAGUCGAAAGAUUAGCUAAUACCGCAUACGACCUGAGGGUGAAAGUGGAGGACCGGAAACGGCCUCAUGCAGCAGGAGCGGCCGAUGUCUGAUUAGCUAGUUGGUGGGGUAAAGGCCCACCAAGGCGACGAUCAGUAGCUGGUCUGAGAGGACGAUCAGCCACACUGGGACUGAGACACGGCCCAGACUCCUACGGGAGGCAGCAGUGGGGAAUUUUGGACAAUGGGGGCAACCCUGAUCCAGCAAUGCCGCGUGUGUGAAGAAGGCCUUCGGGUUGUAAAGCACUUUUGUCCGGAAAGAAAUCGCGCUGGUUAAUACCUGGCGUGGAUGACGGUACCGGAAGAAUAAGCACCGGCUAACUACGUG